rnacentral:rRNA from 1 species
GAUGAACGCUGGCGGCGUGCCUAAUACAUGCAAGUCGAACGCUGGAGAUCUAGCUUGCUAGCUCGAAGGAGUGGCGAACGGGUGAGUAAUACAUAAGCAACCUACCCACGAAGACUGGGAUAAUCUCUGGAAACGGGGACUAAUACCGGAUAGGUAAUCGGAAGGCAUCUUCUGGUUAUUAAAGGUUAAAAACACUGGUGGAUGGGCUUAUGGCGCAUUAGUUAGUUGGUGAGGUAACGGCCCACCAAGACGAUGAUGCGUAGCCGGCCUGAGAGGGUGAACGGCCACAUUGGGACUGAGACACGGCCCAGACUCCUACAGGAGGCAGCAGUAGGGAAUUUUCGGCAAUGGGGGCAACCCUGACCGAGCAACGCCGCGUGAGUGAAGACGGCCUUCGGGUUGUAAAGCUCUGUUGUAAGGGAAGAACGGUAGAUAGAGAAUAUCUAAGUGACGGUACCUUACCAGAAAGCCACGGCUAACUACGUG